UAUGAUGUAAAUUAAAUGGCCGCGAUAAUUUGAUCGUGCAAAGGUAGCAUAAUCAUUUGUUUCUUAAUUAGGAACUAGUAUGAAAGGUCGAACGAGAAAAUAACUGUCUCAAUUUAAUUUAAAUUAAAAUUUUAUUUUUAAGUAAAAAAGCUUAAAUAUAUUUUAAAGACGAGAAGACCCUAUAGAGUUUUAUAUUUAAUUUUAUAUUUUUAAUUUUUAGAAUUUAAUUUUAAAAUUAAUAAUUAAAUAUUUAGUUGGGGUGAUUUAAAAAUUAAAGAAACUUUUUAUUAAUUUAUAACAUUGAUUUAUGAUUAAUUGAUCCAUGAAUAAUGAUUAAAAGAUUAAAUUACCUUAGGGAUAACAGCGUAAUUUUUUUUGAGAGUUCUUAUCGAAAAAAUAGAUUGCGACCUCGAUGUUGGAUUAAAAUUAAUUUAUGGUGUAGAAGCUGUAUAAAUUAGGUCUGUUCGACCUUUAAAAUUUUACAUGAUCUGAGUUUAAACCGGUGUAAGCCAGGUUGGUUUCUAUCUUAAA
rnacentral:rRNA from 1 species